GACAGAGGAUGCAAGCGUUAUCCGGAAUGAUUGGGCGUAAAGCGUCUGUAGGUGGCUUUUUAAGUCCGCCGUCAAAUCCCAGGGCUCAACCCUGGACAGGCGGUGGAAACUACCAAGCUGGAGUACGGUAGGGGCAGAGGGAAUUUCCAGUGGAGCGGUGAAAUGUGUAGAUAUUGGAAAGACCACCGAUGGCGAAGGCACUCUACUGGGCCAUGACUGACACUGAGAGACGAAAGCUAGGGGAGCGAAUGGG
rnacentral:rRNA from 1 species